GCGUGAAGGAUAACCGCAGAAACCGCCCCCGCGGAUCCGCGGCCGCUGCAGAGUUUGAACCCGGCUCAGGAUGAACGCUGGCGGCAUGCCUAACACAUGCAAGUCGAACGGACACCCUCGGGUGUCAGUGGCGAACGGGUGAGUAACGCGUAGGAAUCUACCCCUGGGAGGGGGAUAACAGCUGGAAACGGCUGCUAAUACCCCAUACAGGCGCAAGCUGAAAGGAGCAAUCCGCCCAGGGAUGAGCCUGCGUCGGAUUAGCUAGUUGGUGGGGUAAUGGCCUACCAAGGCGACGAUCCGUAGCGGGUCUGAGAGGAUGGCCCGCCACACUGGGACUGAGACACGGUCCAGACUUCUACGGGAGGCAGCAGUGGGGAAUUCUCCGCAAUGGGCGAAAGCCUGACGGAGCAAUUCCGUGUGAGGGAAGAAGGCCUUCGGGUCGUAAACCUCUUUCCUGGGGUACGUAGUUCUUACGGUACCCU
rnacentral:rRNA from 1 species